AUAAUAUCCCAACAGCCCUGGACUUGUCGCAUCAAAAAAAUAAAAAAAAAUAAAUAAAAAAUAAAAGGUAUACAAUGGUAACAAAAGAUCAAUAUUGUCUUUGCCAGUUACUGCAAAUUUUCCACGAAACUAUUUCAGGCUGAGACAUGGGGAACAGAGAUAAAAAGCGGCUAAUAAUUAUUUUUUUUAAAUGAGAGAAAAAUCAGGAAAGAGUGGUUUAAUAAAGGAAUAAAAUAUCCAAAGGGAGUUAAGUGUCACAGAAAAUCAGGGGAAAAAUAUCAAACAUAAGAAGGGUUUUGAAAAUUCUAUUGUAAGGUAUUAGGAGAGCCAGGCUGAGGUUGAUGCUGUGCUACGCAGAGCAGCCUGAGAUGUGCUACAUUGCAA